rnacentral:rRNA from 1 species
UACGGAGGGUGCAAGCGUUAUCCGGAUUCACUGGGUUUAAAGGGUGCGUAGGUGGGUUGGUAAGUCAGUGGUGAAAUCCCGCGGCUCAACCGUGGAACUGCCUCAGAUACUGACGGUCUCGAGGGAGGUAGGGGCGAGCGGAACUGAUGGUGGAGCGGUGAAAUGCGUUGAUAUCGUUUGGAACGCCAAUGGUGAAAACAGGUUGCUGGGGGUGUGCUGACGCUGAGACACGAAAGCCAGGGGAGCAAACGGG